rnacentral:sRNA from 1 species
GUUUAAAUAUUUCAAUGGGGAGUCCCUUUCUCUCAACUGAUGCAUGUGAAUUACAUAUCUCCCUGAUAGGUGAAAACCAUUCAUUUGGAGAAGAGAAACACAAUGGCCACCAAGACAGAGUUGAGUCCCACAGCAAGGGAGAGCAAGAACGCACAAGAUAUGCAAGUGGAUGAGGCACUGAUCCCCAGGAAAGUUCCAAGUUUAUGUUCUGCUCGCUAUGGAAUAGCCCUCGUCUUACAUUUCUGCAAUUUCACAACGAUAGCACAAAAUGUCAUCAUGAACAUCACCAUGGUAGCCAUGGUCAACAGCACAAGCCUUCAAUCCCAGCUCAAUGACUCCUCUGAGGGGCUGCCUGUUGACUCAUUUGGUGGCCUAAGUAAAGCCCCAAAGAGUCUUCCUGCAAAGUGCUCAAUACUUGGGGGUCAGUUUGCAAUUUGGGAAAAGUGGGGCCCUCCACAUGAACGAAGCAGACUCUGCAGCAUUGCUUUAUCAGGAAUGUUACUGGGAUGCUUUACUGCCAUCCUCAUAGGUGGCUUCAUUAGUGAAACCCUUGGGUGGCCCUUUGUCUUCUAUAUCUUUGGAGGUGUUGGCUGUGUCUGCUGCCUUCUCUGGUUUGUUGUGAUUUAUGAUGACCCCGUUUCCUAUCCAUGGAUAAGCACCUCAGAAAAAGAAUACAUCAUAUCCUCCUUGAAACAACAGGUACAUAUAAAGACACCAACACUUUUCUGAGACCUUGUAUCUGGAUUUUCUUGAGGCCUUAAAUCUGGAUUUUUAAGGGUGACUAAGUGUGUGAGCAUCUGUCGGAUUUACCGUUCUGACCAGUAAAUUUGUUUUCAGGUCAGGUCUUCUAAGCAGCCUCUUCCCAUCAAAGCUAUGCUCAGAUCUCUACCCAUUUGGUCCAUAUGUUUAGGCUGUUUCAGCCAUCAAUGGUUAGUUAGCACAAUGGUUGUAUACAUACCAACUUACAUCAGCUCUGUGUACCAUGUUAACAUCAGAGACGUGAGUAUGUUUCCUUCCCUUCCUUUCUCCUGCUUGCAUGGCUGACCAAUUAAUUAUUCUGCCCUCACUAAUCAUUCCAUCUGAGAAAUGUAUUUCUUAUUACCAAAAAUAAUCUAAUAUUUAAUACUCAUGCCAGUAGCUUUUCUGGGGUAUGAUUUAAGAGGUUACUUAUUUUCCUAAGAAAGUAUGAUUUCAGAAUGUCAUUAUUAUUAGUAGUAAUUUAUCAACAAAAGUUGUGGUCUCACUGCCUUUGUUAUGGUAAUUUACUCAAUCUUUUCUCUUUAGAAUGGACUUCUAUCUGCCCUUCCUUUUAUUGUUGCCUGGGUCAUAGGCAUGGUGGGAGGCUAUCUGGCAGAUUUCCUUCUAACCAAAAAGUUUAGACUCAUCACUGUGAGGAAAAUUGCCACAAUUUUAGGAAGUCUCCCCUCUUCAGCACUCAUUGUGUCUCUGCCUUACCUCAAUUCCAGCUAUAUCACAGCAACUGCCUUGCUGACACUCUCGUGUGGAUUAAGCACAUUGUGUCAGUCAGGGAUUUAUAUCAAUGUCUUAGAUAU